UAUAAUUUUUGCCUAACAAGUUGCAUACUUACUAAUUGAGUUUCAAAUUUAUUAUUUCUCCCAACAUUUUUGGCAAUUUUCUGUCAUUUUUCUGUGUAUCUCUCAGUAUAUCUAAAAACGAUUUCAGGCUCGUUUCAUCUUUUAGUACAGCCGCUUCGUGGACAGCCUCGUAUAGCCAAGGCACGACUCUCGCACAGCAGCCAUGACGCUUGCGCCUUGCCGCCGCCGACGAGGCAACUUCAAUAGCUGAAUAUAAAUUCGAACUAUUUUAGCAGCGAGCGACCAAACCGAACCAUAUAAGAGUUGUGCACAGGCUAUUCGAAGAGCUCAGCAGAGCUGCUGUAGCAGAGAGGCAGCAACAUGUCUGAAGACUGACUUUUCGGUUAUGAAAGUAAAAGUGGAAAAGUGGAAAAGUAUCCCGUCCGUUCGUCUAGCUGGCAACGUUAGCCGAAAACAUGGCAAAAACUUCAUCGAAAAUGCAGGCGAGGCCGCCAACAACAACAACAAGUUUAGCACAAAAGAUUCUAAAAGUUUUCCAUACUAGCGAAAGUGAAGUCAAUUUGGGUGCCUUAAGCAAACAAUAGAAAUGCACACAAACAUAUAUUGAAAGAUUGAUUAUGGAUUGGACCUAUCCUUGAUUGAAGCCUGGGACAUCGCUGAGAAUCUGUAUCAUUUGAAAGAUACAAAUAUAUCUCAUGAAACGCUAAUUAAAUUCAGUUCUUUGGCAAGCUGCAAAACCAAAGGAAAUGUUCUGGUAGAUGAAUAAUUUGUAUGAUUUAAAGAGUUGAUUGUGAGAAAUGCAUGUUGCAAUUUUUGUCCAUAAA